rnacentral:tRNA from 1 species
GCCGGUGUAGCUUUAAUUGGUAGAGCAACGCACUUGUAAUGCGUAGGUUGCGGGUUCGAGUCCUGUCACCGGCUCCA